UGAACGACGCUGGCGGCGCGUUUUAAGCAUGCAAGUCGAGCGGUGCAGUUUGAAGCUUCGGUGGAAAGCUGCAUAGCGGCGGACGGGUGAGGAAAACGUAGGAACGUGCCCCUUGGAGUUGGAUAGCCACGGGAAACUGUGGGUAAACCGACAUAGACUCGAGAGAGUAAAGGCCGAAAGGCGCCAAGGGAGCGGCCUGCGGCCCAUCAGGUAGUUGGUAGUGUAAAGGACUACCAAGCCGACGACGGGUAGCCGGUCUGAGAGGAUGGCCGGCCACAAGGGCACUGAGAGACGGGCCCUACUCCUACGGGAGGCAGCAGUGGGGGAUUUUGGACAAUGGGCGAAAGCCUGAUCCAGCGACGCCGCGUGGAGGACGAAGCCCUUCGGGGUGUAAACUCCUUUUCUCAGGGAAAAAGGAUGAUGGUACCUGAGGAAUAAGCCCCGGCUAACUACGUG
rnacentral:rRNA from 1 species